rnacentral:tRNA from 1 species
GCGGCAAUCAGGCCGAUGAUGGUCAGCGCCUCGUUCGCUUCCUGAGCGAUGCGCGGGCUGAAUCCCGCCUGCCGCGCCA